GGUAAGAAAGAAACUUACAAAGGUUUUUUUUUUUUUCUUUUUGGGUCACACCCGGCGAUGCUCAGGAGUUGCUCCUGGCUCUGCACUCAGGAAUCACUCCUGGCGGUGCUCAGGGGACCAUAUGGGAUGCUGAGAAUCGAAGCCGGGUUGGCUGCGCACAAGGCAAACACACUAGCCGCUGUGCUAUCACUCCAGCUCCCGAAACUUACAAAGUUUUUAAAAAUAAAUGGUCUGCAGUUUUUGUACAAUAGGUCUGCCUUACUUUUGUAGGUGUCUAGGUAUGGUUCUGAAAGGGAGACAAGAGUUUGCUUACUUUUUUGUGGAGAUGUUGGGGAGCAGUGAUAUUUAACAGCAAGUGGGAAAAGGUAAAAACCACUGUUUUGAGUACAGCUCUGUGUCCCUGAAUGUUUGAGCCAAUGAUGGUCCCCAUGUCUGAGAGGAGUGAUGCCAGUGGUCUGUGCCCCACAGCCUGAGUGUACGGCAGUCUGCUGUUUAUGGCUGUGUGUUUAUACGCGCUCAUUCAAUGCAGAAGGCAUCUAGUGACACAUUUCUCAGAACAUAAACAGUUCACAUCUUUUUUAUGGCAACUAAGAUUUCCUACACUGUGACUUUAAAAGUGUACAUUUUAAGUCAAUGUUGGAAAGUGACACACUAUAAUUGUGAUAGAUCUUCCUCCCCUUUUGCAUACUGAAAUGGGUCUGUCAUAUUCAUGAGUCCGAACUGUCUCUCCAAUAUAAAGAACAGGUGUGGAAACAUUUUGAGUCUUGUUCAGUGGAUUUUCACAGUGCUGAUUUGGGGGACAUCUUACCCUGUCGUUGCAGUUAACAACUAUGAGAUUGAUUUUGUGACAUUAUACUUCUCAAGUCUUCAGCUCAUUCUUUUACAUGUGAGCAUCCGUUUGGUAACAGCAGAAGGAACAGAUUAAGAUUUUGCAUCGUGAAAAUUAGAAAUACACGGCUUAGAGAGAGGAAAGGCCGAUACGAGGCACUGUGAGGACAGACUUUGUUCCUUAGUGGAGUGAACUUAAUGGGCUCGGUCCCUCGUCCCUCACUUGGAUUGAACUGAGUCGGUCUUGCUGAAGAGUUGGAUGGACUCGGAGACAUGCUUGUUCGACUGCCUGCUUGUUGCUAUGAGGUCAAGCAAAGCUGUGUAGAACAGAGGGCUGCAGUGAUAAGACAAUGGGGAGGGUGUUUGCAGGUGCACAGCUGGCCUGGGUUUCAUCCCUGGCAUCCCAUCGGGUCCCUCAAGCACUGUACCAGGAGUAAUUCCUGAGUGCAGAGCCAGGAGUCUGGCUUACUCAUCACCAGGUGUGGCACCCAAAAAACAACAAAGAGCAUCGGCAACCACUGUGCUAAACCAACACCUCAAAUGAGAAUAGAUAAGGGGCAUAUAAGUACACUGAAAGAAAGAGGAAUAUUCUUUCCUCGCGAAUACCAUUCUUGCUAGUAAACUACUGAAAACCUGCUGACUUUUCAAAGAAAUGUGGCACGCGUUACCUCCACAAAAUCACAUAGUGCAGGAAAAGGCAAGGAUUCUCUGUAAGCCCAGGGAAAGUGGCAUUAGGACAGGAAGCAGAGUGGCUAUGGAGUGGUUUGAGCAGACUUAACAAUUUUUCCAGAAAAGAUUAAAACUACAAAGUAGAUUGUGUUGAGGCUUGAAUGCUUCGAGCCUAACUGCAGAUCAAGAAAAUGUGCGCUGUUAAAAGAUGCAGCAUUUUGAACUGGGAGGACAUACAAAUUGAAAGGGAAAAAUGACACAGUUCUAGCUUCAUCUUUUAUUAUGAAGACAGAAAUCUUGGUCUGUUAUUUGAGGAGGGAAAUAAGUAGUACCAUGAAUAAAGUUUCCCUAGGGGAAAUUUUCUUGUAAAAAAAGAAGAGGAAUAUUCAGUGUUCACACAAAUUCAAUGGAUUAGUUCUGCCAUGGUUGAUGAGUUGGGAAUUACUGGGUAACAAAAGGCUUCAGCAAGUCUAAAGAGAACAGCACAAAGAGCAUCAAAUGGUGAUUUCAGCAAUAUCCAGGAUUCUUCAAAGUAAGGCAAACCACGAAAGCAAGGGAAAUGACAAUUUCAGACAUGUGAAAAAAAAGCAAACUCAAAAGUAUUGGUAUUUCAAACAGGAGAGAUAUGGAAAUGUCUCUUCAGUCAUGAGAGUGAAACAUACGACUAUGGAAGAUAACAAUUUGAAAGCUGGGCCAGAGAAAAAGUACAGCGGGCCAGGCACUUGCCUUGCAUGGGGCCUUAUGGGUUCAAUCAUUCUGGGCAUCCUAUAUGAUCCCCAGAACUCACCAGGAGUGAUCCCUGAGCGCAGAGCCAGGAGUAAGCCCUGAGUAUCGCUGGGUGUCGCCCAAAAGCAAAUAAGAUUUGUUUUGAAAGCUUUUCUAAAGAACCAAUACACCGAUAAUGAAUUCUCUCCAGUUUUUCUUUUUUCUUUCUUUCUUUCUUUUUUUUUUUUUUUUUUGCUUUUUGGGUCACACCUGGCAAUGCACAGGGGUUACUCCUGGCUCUGCACUCAGGAAUUACCCCUGGCCAUGCUCAGGGGACCAUAUGGGAUGCUGGGAUUUGAACCCAGGUCGGCUGCGUGCAAGGCAAACGCCCUACCCGCUGUGAUAUCUCUCCAGCCCCUUCUCUCCAGUUUUUCAGCCAUCUAGGAACCCUGUUCAAUAAGGAGGCGACCCAGGGGCAGUGGGCGUGGCCAGCACGUGCGAUUUGCCUUGGGUUGGACGUGGCUUAAUGUGGGGGCGUGGCCUGUCCCGGGGUGUGGCCAUUGUGGCGCGUACAGGGUAACAGUCGUGGGCGUGGCUUGGCUGGGGGCGUGGUCAGUCGUGCGGCUCGCCUGGAGCUCGAGAGCGCGUCCCUCCACGAGCAUCCACUCAGAUCCACGUGUUUGUCUCUAACGGUCCUUGUGGUGCUGAGGUUGACCGGUCAGUGAGCGGACACAGGAGAAUACAGCAGGCCAUCGGGAAGGUGAGGAGAGACAGGCCUGGGCGCGGGGAAGCUGGAGGGGGACGAGAGGGAAAAAGCCCGGUGGGCGGCGCGGAGACGGAGGCUGAGACCCCGAACCUCCCCGCCUGCGCCCUCCAGCCCCCUGCCUGCCCCGCCAUGAGCGCCGCCUUGGUCCUGCUGCUGCUGCUGCUCCCGGCCGCGCCCCUGCCCUCGGCUACCGCCGCGCCCAUCCGGGAUGCCCGACUCGUGGACAGCCUGGAGACCCUCCUCCAAGGUGUCCAAACUGGAGGAGACGCCGGUCUGUGGGGAGCCGCGGAGCAGCCCCCUCACUCUGGCUGCCCACCCGGCUCCUAACGUGGCUGCCGGGCCAGGAAGCCGGAUGGGAGGACCAGCGGCUCCGUGAGAUGCACUGAGAGCACAGGCUCCUCCAGAGGGCCAGUCCAGGGCUCCUGGGCCCCCAAGCCCUACCCUGAAACCUCUCCCUAUCCCUUCCCAGCUGCAGAGACGAGGGCCAGGACCCACAGUUCUGGCUGUGCACCCCAGGUUCCCCAUCACCAGCCCUCACCCUGGCUCAAUUUGGAAAUAAAGUUCUUCUGUAGCA